rnacentral:rRNA from 1 species
AGAGUUUGAUCCUGGCUCAGGAUGAACGCUAGCUACAGGCUUAACACAUGCAAGUCGAGGGGAAACGAUAUUGGAAGCUUGCUUCCGAUAGGCGUCGACCGGCGCACGGGUGAGUAACGCGUAUCCAACCUGCCCAUCACUUGGGAAUAACCUUGCGAAAGUAAGACUAAUGCCCAAUGACAUUUAUAGAAGGCAUCGGAAAUGAAUUAAAGAUUUAUUGGUGAUGGAUGGGGAUGCGUCUGAUUAGCUUGUUGGCGGGGUAACGGCCCACCAAGGCGACGAUCAGUAGGGGUUCUGAGAGGAAGGUCCCCCACAUUGGAACUGAGACACGGUCCAAACUCCUACGGGAGGCAGCAGUGAGGAAUAUUGGUCAAUGGGCGAGAGCCUGAACCAGCCAAGUAGCGUGCAGGAUGACGGCCCUAUGGGUUGUAAACUGCUUUUAUAGGGGAAUAAAGUGAGCCACGUGUGGUUUUUUGCAUGUACCCUAUGAAUAAGGACCGGCUAAUUCCGUGCCAGCAGCCGCGGUAAUACGGAAGGUCCGGGCGUUAUCCGGAUUUAUUGGGUUUAAAGGGAGCGUAGGCCGGAGAUUAAGCGUGUUGUGAAAUGUAGAUGCUCAACAUCUGCACUGCAGCGCGAACUGGUUUCCUUGAGUACGCAUAAAGUGGGCGGAAUUCGUGGUGUAGCGGUGAAAUGCUUAGAUAUCACGAAGAACUCCGAUUGCGAAGGCAGCUCACUGGGGCGCAACUGACGCUGAAGCUCGAAAGCGCGGGUAUCGAACAGGAUUAGAUACCCUGGUAGUCCGCGCGGUAAACGAUGGAUGCCCGCUGUUGGGCCAACUGGUUCAGCGGCCAAGCGAAAGCAUUAAGCAUCCCACCUGGGGAGUACGCCGGCAACGGUGAAACUCAAAGGAAUUGACGGGGGCCCGCACAAGCGGAGGAACAUGUGGUUUAAUUCGAUGAUACGCGAGGAACCUUACCCGGGCUUGAAUUGCAGAGGAAGGAUUUGGAGACAAUGACGCCCUUCGGGGCCUCUGUGAAGGUGCUGCAUGGUUGUCGUCAGCUCGUGUCGUGAGAUGUUGGGUUAAGUCCCGCAACGAGCGCAACCCCUAUUGUCAGUAGCCAGCAGGUAAAGCUGGGCACUCUGAUGAGACUGCCAGGGAUAACCUGGAGGAAGGUGGGGAUGACGUCAAAUCAUCAUGCCCCUUAUGAUUUGGGCUACACACGUGCUACAAUGGCGUAAACAAAGAGAAGCAAAGCUGCGAGGCAGAGCAAAUCUCAAAAAUAACGUCUCAGUUCGGAUUGUAGUCUGCAACUCGACUACAUGAAGCUGGAAUCGCUAGUAAUCGCGGAUCAGAAUGCCGCGGUGAAUACGUUCCCGGGUCUUGUACACACCGCCCGUCACACCAUGGGAGUCGGAAAUGCCCGAAGCCAGUGACCCAAGCGAAAGAAGGGAGCUGUCGAAGGCAGGUCUGAUAACUGGGGUGAAGUCGUAACAAGGUA